UAAAUUUAAAAAAGGAUGGAAAAGGUUUAAUAAUUGCUCUUGGAAGGCCAUGUUCCUACUGUAAUUUAGUUUUAGCUCUACCAAGCAUUGCCUAAAAUAAAAGCCAUUGUGGGCUUCUAUCCUUCAAUCCUUCAGCUCAUGGGAGUGAAUUUGGUGUUUCUAUGCUUGUCAUGAGCAGUGGAGUUUUGUUGGGCAGUAUCCUAUCAAAUUCCAUGGUUUUAAGUUGUAGUGCAGAAUUGCAGGCCAGUAACAGCCCCAAGGAUCUGUUCUGAUUUUGACUGAUUCAUAGAGUUUGGUUGUGGCCCCAUAAAUUAUUUCUAUGGGCUGCUCAGAUAUCGGACAUUCUUUUAGUGAUUCAUGCAUUGCAACAUCUUUUUGUUUCUGAAUUGAUGCAAGUGGAGUCGAUUUUGUUUUAACUGGGUUUACUGGUUCCUCCGUUUUUGUGUUUUUUUUUUUUUCCAUGCUUCUUCACUGGUACUUCUGUAUGUAAUAAGUGAUGAAAUUUGGACAAAAUUCUCAUCAUCUGAUAUGUACCCGAAGUUGAAUUUUGGAAGUAUUGCAUUUAUGUAGAGCAAUAGAUGACUAUUCCCAGGGAUCUUUUAGGGUUAUAUUCCUUUUUCCUUCUCAUUGCAUCUAUUAGUUGGCAUUGAUGUUUUGUUUGGAGCUGAACCUUUCUGAUUGUCUUGCAUUAGUGUGGAUCUGAUACUUGAUGCAGUAGGAAAGUCCAUAAUAAUGAUAUAAAUGAUUGAGUGAUUGAACUGAUAUUUGGAAUAAAAUGUCUCCAUUCCAUGCUAAGGCUUCCUUAUCAAAAGCUAGUUGUAAAAAUACAGAAUAUCGUUACUGUAUCAGUAUGUUAUGCACAAAUUUUUUUUCUAAUCAUUCUUUGCAGUGCAGUUUGAAUGGGAUAGCUAUCCAAAUUAGAACUUUUUUGAAUUUUUGCUCAUUGUACUAUUCCAUUAUCCAUUUAUUUCUAAUCUCCUCCUCUAUGAACUUGUGCACAUUUGAUGUAACCAGACCAUCCAGUGUAUAGACUGCUCAUUGUGAAAUUUAAUUUCUGCAGUUCAUUUUCCAUUGGAUCAGCUCUUCUUUUUUUCUUUUUUUCUUUUUUUCUGAAAGAUCCAAUGGAUCAACUCAUUCUCUUCUUUUUUAUUAAAACCGUGACUUUUUCCUUCUCACUAUUGAAAUGGGAUGUCGUAUCUGGGAAACUCUGAAGUUUGUUAUGUCGUGACUGAUGUAACUAGCCAAACAAAAGCACUACUGAUUCAGUUAUAAUGCAGUAGAAGGUUCUGCACACAUUAUCUUGACUUUUCUUGUUUGUGAACUGUCGUUAUUUUACAUUACUUUCAUUUCAUUGGUGUCAUGUUCAAGUGUCAAGGCAAUUUUAUAUGCUCCAAAGAUGAGACGCAUCAGGUUUUCUGUUUGUUACUGUUAUUAGGUGGGAAGGCGAAAAUCAGCCUGCAAAUGAGAAGGGUAAGCUGUGUUGCACGGAAAGCCCCAAGUUUUAGUGGUCCACUAAUGCUUUCAAACCAAGCUUCUGCAAACAGUUUAUCCUUUUGACUGAGCUGGAAAGGGAGAGGACUGCUAGGUCAGAUUUGGAAAGGGCUGCCCAUGUUGAUUUAUUAAACAUCAACACAGAGAUUUUUCCCUUCAUUUCUUAGGUAAUGUGACGAAGAACUUUGGAAAAGGAUUAGUUUCAUUCGGUUCUGAAAAACUUGAACUAUCAGUAAAGAAAAAUUCAGAUCAUACAAGCCUUCUGAAGACAUGACCUUUGAUGUGCAUUAGCUCUGCCGUCACCAUACUUAUCGUGUUAAGCUGUCAAUUGUGCCCUUCCUUUUUGAUCUUUCUAUUCUAUGUUAUUCAAUUCCCUGGGCACUUAAAUGGCUCUCAUGACAGUUAUAUUCUUUUGGGAAGCUUAUGAGACAUUCUUUUACGGUAACCUCUCACUGUCCUUAUCGUAGUAACCAGCGUCUUACACUAGCAUGUGUUUGAUGCUUCAUUACAGUUUCUUUUUUCAUAAAAGUCUCCACUAUAGCGUUUGGUUGCAUUAAAUGGCCAAAGGUGCGUUUGGUUGCAUCAGUGAUUGACUUGAUCCUUCCAAUCAUGGUAGUAAGUGUUUGUUGUGAGCAGCUAACAUCUGAUCAUGUAUAUCCUCCACGGGAGUGUUGAUUUUGCAAGAAUCUGCAAGGGCAGGUCUAGCAACAAGCAGAAUGGAAGAACUUUCUGCAUAAGUUUUAUUAUGCUAUAUUUCCAUGAAUGUUUCUUGUUGGAUGUGUAUAUUAACGUUCUUUUUGAUAAGUAGAAUGUCUAUGAACAGAUCCACUUUGCUGUAUUUUUUUGAUAAGAAGGAAGACCGGUCUACAUCAAGAGACUUGGUAAAGCUGAACCAAACAAGCUUAUGCACAUUACUAGAAUACACAACUACUUAAGGUAUCAUGUACAUGAGUAUGAGAGGGUCUUCCUCUAUGAAAGUUCAUUACUAUGAGGACGUACCUAAUAAGAUGAAGGUUCAUUACUUCACCUUACCAUUUUCAUAUUCAUUUCAGUUCUGAUAUGGAAUAAUUUUUGUUCUGGAUAUGGCAAUAUGCCUUCAACAAAGUGGUCCUCAAGAACAUUGAUGCUUGCAAGCAGCUCUCCACCAUCACCUGAACUUCGCUCGGACCGAACGGUAACAGCUCCGCCUACUGAAGUUUCUUCGCCCGGAAAAUAUUCAAAAUUUUCGGUGCUUUUUAGUAGACUUUCUUAUUCAUUUCCCAUUUUUGUGUUAUUUUCGGAAUUGUUAAUAAUGACUAGGAUUUCUGUUAAUUAUUCGGUAAUGUCGAUUAGUGGGUGAUUGUUAUGUUAUA